CAACAGGGAUUGCCCUAGUAACGGCGAGUGAAGCGGCAACAGCUCAAAUUUGAAAUCUGGCUUCGGCCCGAGUUGUAAUUUGCAGAGGAUGUUUCUGGCGCGGUGCCUUCCGAGUUCCCUGGAACGGGACGCCAUAGAGGGUGAGAGCCCCGUAUGGUUGGAUACCAAGCCUGUGUGAAACUCCUUCGACGAGUCGAGUAGUUUGGGAAUGCUGCUCAAAAUGGGAGGUAAAUCUCUUCUAAAGCUAAAUAUUGGCCAGAGACCGAUAGCGCACAAGUAGAGUGAUCGAAAGAUGAAAAGCACCUUGAAAAGGGGGUUAAACAGUACGUGAAAUUGUUGAAAGGGAAGCGCUCAUGACCAGACUUGUGCUGGGCAGCUCAUCCGGGGUUCUCCCCGGUGCAUUCUGCCCAGUUCAGGCCAGCAUCGAUUUUUGCUGGGGGAUAAGAACGGAAGGAACGUGGCCCUCCUUCGGGAGGGUGUUAUAGCCUACCGUACGAUACCCUAGCGGAGAUCGAGGUUCGCGCAUCUGCAAGGAUGCUGGCGUAAUGGUCAUCAGCGACCCGUCUUGAAACACGGACCAAGGAGUCGUCCAUUAGAGCGAGCGUUUGGGUGUAAAACCCGCACGCGUAAUGAAAGUGAAAUUAGGUGAGAGCUUCGGCGCAUCAUCGACCGAUCCUGAUGUUCUCGGAUGGAUUUGAGUAAGAGAUGUAACGGACGGACCCGAAAGACAGUGAACUAUGCUUGUAUAGGGUGAAGCCAGAGGAAACUCUGGUGGAGGCUCGCAGCGGCUCUGACGUGCAAAUCGAUCGUCAAAUAUGAGCAUGGGGGCGAUAGACUAAUCGAACUGUCUAGCAGCUGGUUACCGCCGA
rnacentral:rRNA from 1 species